UGUUUAUCAAAACAAAGAGGCCUUUUUAAAAUGUAUGAACAUUUGAUGGAAUUGCAUGAGAUGGAAUCAGGUCUUAGUUCUCAUCCCGGACUCCACUUGCUAUUCAGAAGCCAACUACGAUACGGGACCAGAGUUGGAGCCUAGCCUUAUUAUGAUGUCCAAGUUUUCCCUGCUGUCAGUAUUGUGAGCAUUAACCGGCCUCUGCUGCUUUAAUUCAUUCACUUAACUGACUCCUUCCACGCCUUCGCUUCUGCUCCAUAUAAACUUGAUAAUUAUCUGCCAGCAAUGGCCCUAUUGCAAUGCAGAUGAACCGAUACUUGCAUAUAAUUACAAACGAAUACAAGAAACGUCGUGCGCGUCUUUCACCAUCAUUGCCCGGCUUGCUGCCGAGUAAGAUAGAGCCAGUAAAGCACGAGGAAACAGCGCCUUCAUCUGAUCGGUCUGACUAUUCUCCGGGCAGGUUGCCGGAAGUUCUCUAAGAGACUUGCGACAAAACGUUAUAGCUUGCGGCGUAUCUGGUAGCAAUGGUAAGUCAUUUCCAGGACCGUAACUUUAGACUGUCCAAAGCAGGAUUUAUCCAUUGGUUAUGAUUAACACAAGAUAUGUAGUUCUACCUGAACAGGAAGCCCAAGAAAAAAGCCAUUAGUUAGGCGGACAUGUCAUAAAACUCUACUAAGGUAGAUUUGUCGGUGAUGUAUAUAAACAAUCAUGAAAUUAGUAUUCAACCAAUAAGAGACAAAAAAAACAGGUAUAAUUAUCGGGGUUUUUCAGUUCUUAAAGAAACAAAUAGAAUUGUGUUUAAAAGAAGCUUCCCAACCAAAUAACAUUGUAUUUACAUAAUAGUAAAUAUUAUUAAUAUUUUAGCUGCUAGGUUAAUACUUAAAAAUAAUGUAAUCAAAAAGUGUUGUACGUGACUGGAAAUUAUCGUUUCUGACAGAUAAGUAGUGUUUUGGUUGUAAACAGCGUUUGGUUGAAUAAUUACGUCAUAGUGGAAUUACAUAGAGGAGUCGCAUUUGAUAAUGAACAAAUACUUCAAUUGAUGCGGAACAACAAGGAUAAUGGCCAUUUAACAUGGAACAAUGUAGAGAAAUUCAACCGACACUAAAUAAAAGGAAUAAAACAUAAAUAACACGACAUUGAACAGCAUGAAGAAUAAUCAACCGACAAGAAACAACGUGGAGAAAACUAAAGUGAAGACAGACGAUAUCAAGAAAUGCUAAGUGAUACGGUGAACAUGAAGAAAGGUCAGCUAAUAUAAUACAGCAUGAAGAAAGUUCAUCUGGUGUGAGAAUUGAAGGAAGAAAGUAGACACAACUUCACCCUGUGAAGAACAAUCUGAAAAAUGAUAAACUAGAACGAAAAAUGUGUGGAACAAAAACUCAAUAACAACGUUGCAACGUGAAGAAUUAAUUACCUGAUACGGAACGACAUACUGAAAUUAAACUAAUGGAUGAGCAUACAAAAAAAAACUGAUAAAAUAACAUGUAAAAAGUACAACUGGCGUGGUAUAACGCAGAAAACAGUUCAACCAAAGUUGAAGAAUAUAGUAAAAAAAUCAAACAAUAAGAAAAUAUAUCAACAAAACUACAUAGAAAAUUCAAAUGACGCUGAGAAAUGUUAAGGCUGGUCAACACAUCAUGGAAAUGUAAACUAAUAAAUGGAAAAAAUAUAAAACAACUGAAAAGUAACAGAGACGAAACGAAUAGUACGAAAACUAGACGAACGGAAUUGUACGAGAUACGACCAUGAGAUGGUUCAGUAUAUACACUAGCAGUCUUUUUCAGAAACUAUAAUCAAAACCAAGGUGAAAAACAUAGCAGCUACAAAGUUCCAGUCAAAUACGUGCUGGGAGAAAACGAUAACAUAGUCGUACCACACUUAAGUGAGAUCAGCGAAGUUUCAACUGGUGCCUCUGAUAGGUUUACAACUUUAGUCCUUAAUCAAUGGAUGAGGAAUAUGUCGAGGAGUUGUCUUGUCACCAGUAGGAGCUGCUUCUGUUCAAAAUGUCAUGUGUGCAUCUUUAAAUGAAAUAUCUUGAAUCAAUAUUAUAACAGCGAAGGUACCUAGGAUCAACUCAUUCAACUGAUGAUCUACGUAGAAACUAUAGCUGAUAUCUAAGAUCAACUCGUUGAACUGAUGAUCAACAUAGAAACUAUUGUUGUGUAUCGAGAAACAACUCAUUCAAUUUAUCUACAUAAGAAUUAUAGCUGAUGUCUAGGAACAGCCUUUUAUACUGCUUUGAAUUAUAUUAAGAAGAAUUACCGAUAGUAUAAAGGUUUUGGAUUUGCUACAAUAUUUACCUUUAGCUUGACGUGUAAGAAACUUGAAAGAAGUAUAGAUUGUAAUAUUUAAACCAGUGGAGUGACCUUCAUCCAUGAAUAUGGCAAUAUUAUCUAAUACUUUAUGUGUUCUUACUUCUUUAAUGUUUACUCUUUACAAAUCUAAUCAUGUCUGUAGAAAUACUUUUACAGAUGUAUCA
rnacentral:lncRNA from 1 species